rnacentral:rRNA from 1 species
CCUACGGGGGGCAGCAGUCGAGAAUCAUUCACAAUGGGGGAAACCCUGAUGGUGCGACGCCGCGUGGGGGAAUGAAGGUCUUCGGAUUGUAACCCCCUGUCAUGUGGGAGCAAAUUAAAAAGGUAGUACCACAAGAGGAAGAGACGGCUAACUCUGUCCCAGCAGCCGCGGUAAUACAGAGGUCUCAAGCGUUGUUCGGAAUCACUGGGCGUAAAGGGUGCGGAGGCUGGUUCGUAAGUCGUUUGUGAAAGGCACGGGCUCAACCCGCGGACGGCACUUGAAACUGAGAGACUAGAGUACUGGAGGGGGAGCCGGAAUUCUCGGUGUAGCGGUGAAAUGCGUAGAUAUCGAGAGGAACACUAGUGGCGAAGGCGGGUUCCUGGACAUUAACUGACGCUGAGGCACGAAGGCCAGGGGAGCGAAAGGGAUUAGAUACCCCUGUAGUC